rnacentral:rRNA from 1 species
GUGCAAAGGUAGCAUAAUAAUUUGCUUCUUAAUUAGAGGCUUGUAUGAAGGAACAUACGCGAGUAUAGCUGUUUCACCUUUAUACCUAAAAAUUAACCUCCAGGUGAAGAGACCUGAAUUUAAUAAAAAGACAAAAAGACCCUAUUGAGCUUUACCUAAAGUCUAUUCAAUGCCCUCACUUAUACAUUUAAUAAGCCUAGGUUCUGUUGGGGCGACAAAAGAAGAACUAAAUCUUCUUUCCAAUAAAAGGGAGCAGCCCACAAUAAUUGAUCCAAACCUCUUGAUCAUCGAAACCAGCUACCCUAGGGAUAACAGGCUAAUUUUCUUCAAGAGCCCAUAUUGACA